rnacentral:rRNA from 1 species
AGCGAACGCUGGCGGCAGGCCUAACACAUGCAAGUCGAACGGCACCUUCGGGUGAGUGGCGGACGGGUGAGUAACACGUGGGAACGUACCUUUUGGUUCGGAAUAACGCAGGGAAACUUGUGCUAAUACCGAAUGUGCCCUUCGGGGAAAGAUUUAUCGCCUAUUAGAGCGGCCCGCGUUAGAUUAGCUAGUUGGUGAGG